ensembl:snRNA U6 U6 spliceosomal RNA
GUGCUCACUUCAGCAGCACAUAUAUUAAAAACUGUGGCACUACAGAGAAGAUUAGCGGGGCCCUGCACAAGGACGACACACAGGCGGGGUGCAGUGGCUCAGGCCUGU